rnacentral:rRNA from 1 species
GACGAACGCUGGCGGCGUGCCUAAUACAUGCAAGUAGAACGCUGAAGAGAGGAGCUUGCUCUUCUUGGAUGAGUUGCGAACGGGUGAGUAACGCGUAGGUAACCUGCCUGGUAGCGGGGGAUAACUAUUGGAAACGAUAGCUAAUACCGCAUAAAAUUGAUUAUUGCAUGAUAAUUAAUUGAAAGAUGCAAUUGCAUCACUACCAGAUGGACCUGCGUUGUAUUAGCUAGUUGGUGAGGUAACGGCUCACCAAGGCGACGAUACAUAGCCGACCUGAGAGGGUGAUCGGCCACACUGGGACUGAGACACGGCCCAGACUCCUACGGGAGGCAGCAGUAGGGAAUCUUCGGCAAUGGGGGGAACCCUGACCGAGCAACGCCGCGUGAGUGAAGAAGGUUUUCGGAUCGUAAAGCUCUGUUGUAAGAGAAGAACGGGUGUGAGAGUGGAAA